rnacentral:piRNA from 1 species
AAUUGCAAGAACCCUGUGAAAGUC